UACGUAGGGGGCAAGCGUUGUCCGGAUUUACUGGGCGUAAAGCGCGCGUAGGCGGAACGUUAAGUCCGGUCUGAAGCCCCCGGCUCAACCGGGGAGGGUGGCUGGAAACUGGCGUUCUUGAGGGCGAGAGAGGAGGGUGGAAUUCCUGGUGUAGCGGUGAAAUGCGUAGAGAUCAGGAGGAACACCCGUGGCGAAGGCAGCUCGCUGGGACGUUACUGACGCUGAGACGCGAAAGCGUGGGGAGCAAACAGG
rnacentral:rRNA from 1 species